CACGUAGGGCGCAAGCGUUGUCCGGAAUUAUUGGGCGUAAAGAGCUCGUAGGCGGUCUGUUGCGUCCGCUGUGAAAACUCGGGGCUUAACCCCGAGCCUGCAGUGGAUACGGGCAGACUAGAGGUAGGUAGGGGAGAAUGGAAUUCCCGGUGUAGCGGUGAAAUGCGUAGAUAUCAUGAGGAAGACCAGUGGCGAAGGCGGGUCUCUGGACAGUUCCUGACACUGAGGCACGAAGGCCAGGGGAGCAAACGGG
rnacentral:rRNA from 1 species